GAGCAAACGACGAGCGAUGGUCGGGCGGCUUUCGCCUGGAAAUCGAUAACGAGUCGGAUCCGCGCGCGCGAACGGACAACACAGUGCGCCGAACUGGCCUGAUCAGUGCCGACAGAGAGCCGGAACUUCGCACGCACCAUUAAGAAGGUACAAUAUGCGCAAGAAAGAUAUCGCUGACUCGCAUCGUCGUGACUCCGCAAAUCGGAUCGGAUCUAUCAUGCGAGGUCGCUAUGGAGGACAACUAAAUUUUUACGGAGACAUUUGACGACACCAAAGUCGCGAUGGAGAACGAGCGUCACAAGUAAGCUGCUCGGAGGGAGAGAGACGCCGGAGGGAGAGGAUAAGAAAAGCUCCGAUCGGCAGUCCUCCACUUUUCACUUUUGCAAGACUCGCCGAUGCAAAUCCUUCAUUUCUUUUAUCAUUAUUACAAUCACGCGCGACAAAUAGUUCUAUCUAAUUUUUUACAAACACCGCGUGUUUUUUAUUUCGCGGAAAUACACACAUUCCUUCCUUCCUUCCUUCAAUAUAUGGCUACAGGCCUCUAUAAGAGUAAUGCCCCUACGCCAGUUUCCGAUUAAUGAUAUAACUCGAGAGCAAAGUCUUGGAAAUUUCCAAGACACGAUCCAAAAAAAUCACAAGGUCCGAACAUGUUCGAACACGUCUUGUCGUAAAUACACACAUUCGAAAGUGCAUACUGAUAUCUACAAGUGUGUUUCUAACAAAGUCGCGGAACAAUCGCACAUAUAUAAUAACGCAGAUUAUCAACCUCUAUCAUUCUGCUCUCUUUUCAUGGAUAAAGUCGAAGCGACAAUAGCGAUAGCAUCAAUAGGGAUCGAUGCUAUCGGAAUUCUUGAAGAACUUUAUCGUCCAGAACUUCAAGCUUUAGCCGGAAUCACUUUGUGAUUGAAACUUUGUGAUUUCGCGGCGCGAGUCGACGAAAGAAAAAAAUAUCGUUUAGUUAUACUAAAGAAAAAAAUUACUUGUAAAUUCAUUUGUGAGGAUAUAAAUUUGAUUUUUAUGAAAUGAAAUAAUAUAUUAUGAUAAUUUAUGAAAUAAUUAUAUUAUCACAAUAUAUACACUAUCCACACAGAGUGAAAUGAUGUUCAUUUCUGUAAAUAAGCCUUGUAUCCUCCACAAGUUAAUUUUCAAGUAUUCUUUUUUCUCGGCGCAGAAUCAAGGCUAAUUAGUAUAAUAAUCGAUGUAUACGAGGAGAAUACUAUAACUUUCUUAUAAAAACUUCUUCAAUUUUGAUGAUGCAGAAAUAGGAUGCAGAGUUUAUUCUGCCAAGAAACAUAAAUUAUUUAACAAUAAGACUCCUAAAAUACAUAAAUAUAAUGUGUACGAAAAGAAGAGAUACAUAAAUUGAGGCAAAGAAUGAGGGGGGACGGAGAGGUUGACAUAUUUCCCGGCUACAAAAUUCUACAGUAACUUUUUGUUACAAGAUUCUCUUCGUGCAAGUAGCUCUAAUCUCGUCGAAUGACUCACCAAUAACUUGAAUUCGAUUUAACUGGAAGUCGCGGUAUAUAAGCGUUUGUGAAAUUAUCCUCUCGUCCCAUCGGUCAAAGUCCACUUCUUAAGUGAUUUUUGGGUGUACGACAAACAACCGAUUGCGAACUGCUGCUCGCGGUAUUGGAGGGGAUCGCGCGAUCGCGCUGUGGCAAAGCCGUGGCAAUGGUGUCACGGUAAAGUCAUUGCUGCUAAUGUCGUACUUUCUACGAACGAUGACCAAGACCGAAAGGCGGGACACGUGCCCCGCGUGAAAUUGCGCCGCGACGCAAUCCUUUCCGAAUUCAUCCCGCAGGGGUAAAUUCACCUUGCGCGUUCCACGCGCAUGUGAUACAGUUUUACACUCGACGUUCGCACUUUAUCCUUUCGGGAUCUCGUUGCGAUCCAUCGCAAAUUGAUUUUGCGAUUUAAACCGCACAGACAGGAGAGAAUAAUAUAGCUUCUUUUCGAUGAAAUUCCUUUCAAUUCUAUCGUAUUUUUUAGUAGAAUAAACCGUCAAUAAAUCGUCUGUUUUUUAAAGAAUACAGGAAAGUAAUAAUAAAUAAGUACAAAUAUUAAAGUAAUGAAUAAAAAAUAAUAAAUAAAAAUAAAUAAAAAUAAA